UAAGGAAUAUUGGUCAAUGGAGGCAACUCUGAACCAGCCAUGCCGCGUGAAGGAUUAAGGCCCUCUGGGUUGUAAACUUCUUUUAUAUGGGAAGAAAUGUUCUGAUUCUUCAGAGCUUGACGGUACCAUAGGAAUAAGCACCGGCUAACUCCGUGCCAGCAGCCGCGGUAAUACGGAGGGUGCAAGCGUUAUCCGGAUUCACUGGGUUUAACGGGUGCGUAGGUGGGCAGAUAAGUCAGUGGUGAAAUCUUCCGGCUUAACCGGAAAAUUGCCGUCGAUACUAUAGGUCUUGAAUUAUCUGGAGGUAAGCGGAAUAUGUCAUGUAGCGGUGAAAUGCUUAGAUAUGACAUAGAACACCAAUUGCGAAGGCAGCUUACUACAUAUAAAUUGACGCUGAGGCACGAAAGCGUGGGGA
rnacentral:rRNA from 1 species